GACGAACGCUGGCGGCGUGCUUAACACAUGCAAGUCGUACGGUAAGGCCCUUUCGGGGGUCCACGAGUGGCGAACGGGUGAGUAACACGUGCGUAACCUGCCCACAACUUUGGGACAACGCUAGGAAACUGGUGCUAAUACUGGAUAUGUGCUCCUGCUGCAUGGUGGGGGUUGGAAAGCUCCGGCGGUUGUGGAUGGACUGGCGGCCUAUCAGCUUGUUGGUGGGGUAGUGGCCUACCAAGGCGGCGGCGGGGAGCCGGCCUGAGAGGGUGACCGGCCACAUUGGGACUGAGAGACGGCACAGACACCUACGGGAGGCAGAAGUGGGGAAGAUUGCACAAGGGGCGCAAGGCUGAUGAAGCAACGCCGCGGGCGGGAUGACGGCCUUAGGGUUGAAAACCGCUUUCAGCAGGGACGAAGCUUUUUGUGACGGUACCUGCAGAAGAAGCACCGGCUAACUACGUG
rnacentral:rRNA from 1 species